rnacentral:lncRNA from 1 species
ACUGUAACAAACAAACAACAAUAACUUUGGCAUUGGCAGUGUUAAACUGUAACAAACAAACAACAAUAACUUCUAAAAAUCAAGGCACAAUAUCAAACAUCCAUUGAAAGAAAAACACAUGCCACAACAAUCAAUCGACAUGAUCAGCAAUAUCGCAAGGCACAAUAUCAAACAUCCAUUGAAAGAAAAACACAUGCCACAACAAUCAAUCGACAUGAUCAGCAAUAUCGCAAGGCACAAUAUCAAACAUCCAUUGAAAGAAAAACACAUGCCACAACAAUCAAUCGACAUGAUCAGCAAUAUCGCAAUAUCUAAACAAAGAUCGAUACAAUCAUUCCAACUAAACAGUCCAAACAGAAUGCACAAAGACCGAUACAAUCAUUCCAACUAAACAGUCCAAACAGAACGAAAGACCUUCCACCAAAACAUUCUAGCACACAUCCGGUCACCGCCUCUCCCCUCGAACACGAAUUCUGGAAGAAAAAAAUAGCUCAACUUUCAAUCCGUCAAAACGUCUUCCAACUAAACAGUCCAAACAGAACGUAAGACCUUCCACCAAAACAUUCUAGCACACAUCCGGUCACCGCCUCUCCCCUCGAACACGAAUUCUGGAAGAAAAAAAAAGCUCAACUUUCAAUCCGUCAAAACGUCUUCCAACAAUGGAAAGAAAAAAAUAUUGGGCAACAAACGUAAUGCAUGGAAAGACACUCAUGGUAGCUAUGACAAUGAAAAAACGAGAAACCACGAAUUUCCCCUCCAUACAUAACUGCUCCAGUAACACUGUAACAGGACUAAUAAUUAACCACCCUUAUAACCACAUUCUAGCACACAUCCGGUCACCGCCACUCUCCUCGAACACUAACAAGGAACAUACUAGCACACAUCGUCGCCGCCACACUCCUCGAACACAAAUUCUGGAAGAAAAAAAAAAAUAUUGGGCAACAGACAAACUGGAUGACGUGCAUGGAAGGACUAAUGGUAGAACUUAAAUCACAAAUGGUAGAACUUAGAACACAAAUUCUGGAAGAAAAAAAAAUAUGGGGCAACAGACAAACUGGAUGACGUGCAUGGAAGGACUCAUGGUAGAACUUAAAUCACAAUGACAAUGAAAAAACGAGAAACCACGCGAGAAACCACACGAAACCAGCUUUGUGACGAUGAUACCCGAUCUGGUAACUGAAAAAGUAGAAGGCAACUACACCGCAAAUUUCCCCUCCUCACAAAACUGCUCCAAUAACAUGACCAAUAACUAACAUCCCUUUUGACCAAAAUGCCAGCCACAGGUGAGAACCCCUUGUAAGCAACAAUCUCUGGCAAACAUCACAAUCUGGUACACAAAACUGCUCCAANNNNNNNNNNNNNNNNNNNNACCCGAUCUGGUAACUGAAAAAGUAGAAGGCAACUACACCGCAAAUUUCCCCUCCUCACAAAAAUAACUAACAUCCCUUUUGACCAAAAUGCCAGCCACAGGUGAGAACCCCUUGUAAGCAACAAUCUCUGGCAAACAUCACAAUCUGGUACAAAUCUGAUUGUUGGUUAGCAAGGUCACCAAACCUAGCAAGGUCACCAAACCAGCAAAUGGCAAAAUCAAUUUAAAAAUUAAACCACCAAGAAUAUUCCCACUCCGCAAAAGAUAAAUAAAUAAAUAAGCAGGAACCCCUUAUAUGCAACAAUCUCUGGCAACAUCACAAUCUGACACAAACAAAUCAAUUUAAAAAUUAAACCACAAAGAAUAUUCCAGUCCCCAAAAGAUAAAUAAAUAAAGAAGCAGGCUCUGGUUCAGACAAUCUAAAACCACUGUCAAGUGUGAGGGCAUCAACAUCAAACUAAGCCAAACAUGAUACGACAUACACCAGCAAAGUGCACAACAAUCAAUACAAUCUCAACCCAAAUUGCACAACAAUCGAUACAAUCUCAACCCAUGCAAACCCUUGGAGCACUGCAACAACAACAGAAGCGACACUUAAAAUCUAACUAUCAAGUCUCAAGGCCAAAAAAAAAAAACACAAUAGAUAAAGGGCCCAGUUUCAAAAACAAGCGGGCAAUUGAGAAGACAAAAGUCAAGCAAAAGGCGACAGGAGGACAUAAGAGAGUUAAGAAAAACCAAGUUGAAACAAUACUAUAAAAGCCAUGAACGCAGACGUCGUUUGACAUCGUUUGCCCUUCAACUCUCACCACUGUGUAACAAACAGGCAAAAAAUAAUUCAGACGUCAUCAUCUGGUGAAACAGUACUAUCAAAAAGGUCAAAACAAUGCUUCAAAUCCCUCAUGGAAAAAAAAAUAAAAAAAAAUCUCCACCAAUACGUCUUCCAAGAACAAACACUGGUCACUAGACAGAAUAUAUACAAGAAAAAAACAGUUAUAACCUAAAAUGCUACCAGGUUAGACAUGCUCCCUCGAUAGAUAUCAUAUCCACCAUAUUAACAAACCAUUCGACAUGCUCCCUCGAUAGAUAUCAUAUCCACCAAUACGUCUUCCAAGAACUAACACUGGUCACUAGACAGAAUAUAUACAAGAAAAAAACAGUUAUAACCUAAAAUGCUACCAGGUUAGACAUGCACCCUCGAUAGAUAUCAUAUCCGCCAUAUUAACAAACCAUUCGACAUGCUCCCUCGAUAGAUAUCAUAUCCGCCAUACUCCGAACAUCAUCAACCUACGUGCCAGGACAGAUCAGAUAUUAACAAUCUUAACAAUCUUACACCUUAAUUCCAAGAUUUAUAAAACGAGCAAAUUGGUAAUCGAAAAUGAUUUUUGGGGAAGGGGUGGGGGGUGGGAAUUAACAAUCUUAACAAUCUUACACCUUAAUUCCAAUGACACUUUAGUUUUAAAUCUCGUCACAAAAAGCCGGACAACUAAGAAGACAAAACUCAGCAAAUGGUGAUAACCAUAUAUAUAAAAAUAUUAACAGCAUUUCUCCACAACUAAAGCACCCUCGUUUAUCAACAGUCUCGAAGAACAUUAAAUAACACAGUAUAUAUCCUACACAAAAUGUUCCUUUAAAAAAUAUAGAAAAAUAUUAACAGCAUUUCUCCACAACUAAAGCACCCUCGUUUAUCAACAGUCUCGAAGAACAUUAAAUAACACAGUAUAUAUCCUACACAAAAUGUUCCUUUAAAAAAAAAAAAGCUAAUUUACACAAUUCCACUACAGUAUAUAUCCUCCACAAAAUGUUCCUUUAAAAAAAAAAAAAGCUAAUUUACACAAUUCCACUACAGUAUAUAUCCUCCACAAAAUGUUCCUUUAAAAAAAAAAAAAGCAAAUUUACACAAUUGCACUCCCUAUUGGAAAACAUUAAAGGGAAAAACAACAGCAUGUCUUCUCCACAACUAAAGCACCCUCGUUUAUACAUAUAACAAUUCACCAUCAGAAUCACCAUCAGACGCCCGCAAAAAGUCAUCUCUUUCAAAUAUCGACAAGACCCCCUCUACAAAUCAUCUCUUUCAAAUAUCGAUAAUCCAAUUAAAAUAUAUGGAGACAACACAUUAUUUACAAGUGUCAAAAGAUAACUUAGAACAGGAAAAAAAAAAGGAAAAACAAUGCUAACUGACCUAAAAAACAAAAUCAUUCGGUGCGGAAGAACUCUCACCCUCAACCCAUAAAAGAUCAUAUCCUCCAAAAAGAAGUCCACCAAGAUGAUGAUAGCAUUCAUUCUAAGUUUUCUUUUUCUAGAAGGGAAAAAAAAGGAUGACUAGUGAAAAACUAGGGGGAAAAAAGAAAUUGAGAAAAUCCNNN